AAGUGCCAAUUCAGUCUGAGAUCUCAGCUACUUGAUAAUCUCAUCUCACUCUCACCCUCACCUUUGUUUGAAGCUCUCAUUUCAUUUUCACUCACCAAUGCUUCCUGUUUCUGUGUUAGCUGAUCGUUUUGAUUUUCCAUUGGGUCAGUCUUUUGAAAUCAAUCUGCAAUUUCCAACUGGACUUUUCUGGGUUUUCAAGGAACCCUAGAUCCAGCUUCAAAUUGCUUACAUGUGCUGGUUAAACCCAUAAUUUAACUGGAAGCAAGGUGGGCAGAGGCUUCUAACAAAGAUGCAUGUUUCUCUUCUUUUUGGUUUGCUGAGAUGCAUGACCGUCCAACCAUCUUAGCUAUUGCUGGAAGAGUAUACUUAAGUGUUAUAAUACCCAGGAGUUAAUCAAUCGAACAUUAUGUAUUGAUUAAGCUUGAACAAGUCUUAGUUCUAUAAUUUUGAAAAACAAUGUGCACUAUGUAGGAGAGAUCUGUGACUGAUCGCAAAACAAGAGCUGCUAUCUUCAGGUUUUUGUCCAACCCCAAACACUUUGUAUCUUCGUUGAUGAUAGGAAUGUGCAGGGCAAAAGGAUGUUGUAAAAGAACAAAUAUUGGAUGUAAGGCGCCAUACUGUCCAGUAAUCCAAAUCCAAAUUCACUGAUUACAAUGGAAAUUUUUCCAUAAAAAUAUGGAGAUAGAUGAAGCGAAAAAUAAUCAUAAAUAGAGGGCAGUGGCCAUUUCCUUCCAAAGUGGAACAUAUGUGUGUUUUCUCUAUUUUAUUAGAUCCUUAGUUCCCACACAUUCCUAUUAUCAACAAGGAUACGAAAUGCAAUGGGAUUGGACGAAAAAUCGAAGAUAGCAACUCCUGGUUUAUGAUCCAUCAUAGAUGUCUCUUAUAUGGUGGACAUUAUUUUUCACAUUUAUAUAAUUAUGACCUUUUCCAGUUUAGUCAAUAUAUUUCCUUUGAGGGGUUGCUCCUAUGUAUUAUUGAACUUAAAAGUAUAUAAAAUUGUGCGAGGAUUAAUGGCGUAUAAUUCUAUUGGAUGCUUACAUUCAGGACCUUAUGCACAAAAAGAGAGAGAAAGAUAUGUCGCAUACCCAAAUCACAGGUUCAUUAUGGUUGGAUUCCGAUGACAGAGCUGCUGCAUAAUGGUGUAGCUUCUUCUACAUUGUGCUCCCCUCCCUCCCUCCUCUCCUUAAAGACCCUUUUUUUUCUGAAGGAGUAAAGGGAGAAUGGGAAAAGUGAGCUCUCACUCUCACUUUUCAGAUUGAAAGCAAGCUUUGUUUGUGUAAAUUUGUGUUUAUACUGUAUUGGUGCUGGAUAUAUUUUGGUGCCAAUACAAUAUAUCUUUUUCCUGUCUUCUUGCCUCUUGCUUGAUACAUAUAUUAUGUUACCUUUUUAUUGCCAUUUUUCAACGAUUAAACUGAAGCACACUGUAUAUUUGUUCGUUCAAUUUGGUUUAAAUAAUCAUUAUUUCAUUCAACA